rnacentral:rRNA from 1 species
CGUGAGGGAAAGGCGAAAAGAACCCCGGCGAGGGGAGUGAAAAAGAACCUGAAACCGUGUACGUACAAGCAGUGGGAGCACGCUUAGGCGUGUGACUGCGUACCUUUUGUAUAAUGGGUCAGCGACUUAUAUUCUGUAGCAAGGUUAACCGAAUAGGGGAGCCGAAGGGAAACCGAGUCUUAACUGGGCGUUAAGUUGCAGGGUAUAGACCCGAAACCCGGUGAUCUAGCCAUGGGCAGGUUGAAGGUUGGGUAACACUAACUGGAGGACCGAACCGACUAAUGUUGAAAAAUUAGCGGAUGACUUGUGGCUGGGGGUGAAAGGCCAAUCAAACCGGGAGAUAGCUGGUUCUCCCCGAAAGCUAUUUAGGUAGCGCCUCGUGAAUUCAUCUCCGGGGGUAGAGCACUGUUUCGGCAAGGGGGUCAUCCCGACUUACCAACCCGAUGCAAACUGCGAAUACCGGAGAAUGUUAUCACGGGAGACACACGGCGGGUGCUAACGUCCGUCGUGAAGAGGGAAACAACCCAGACCGCCAGCUAAGGUCCCAAAGUCAUGGUUAAGUGGGAAACGAUGUGGGAAGGCCCAGACAGCCAGGAUGUUGGCUUAGAAGCAGCCAUCAUUUAAAGAAAGCGUAAUAGCUCACUGGUCGAGUCGGCCUGCGCGGAAGAUGUAACGGGGCUAAACCAUGCACCGAAGCUGCGGCAGCGACGCUUAUGCGUUGUUGGGUAGGGGAGCGUUCUGUAAGCCUGCGAAGGUGUGCUGUGAGGCAUGCUGGAGGUAUCAGAAGUGCGAAUGCUGACAUAAGUAACGAUAAAGCGGGUGAAAAGCCCGCUCGCCGGAAGACCAAGGGUUCCUGUCCAACGUUAAUCGGGGCAGGGUGAGUCGACCCCUAAGGCGAGGCCGAAAGGCGUAGUCGAUGGGAAACAGGUUAAUAUUCCUGUACUUGGUGUUACUGCGAAGGGGGGACGGAGAAGGCUAUGUUGGCCGGGCGACGGUUGUCCCGGUUUAAGCGUGUAGGCUGGUUUUCCAGGCAAAUCCGGAAAAUCAAGGCUGAGGCGUGAUGACGAGGCACUACGGUGCUGAAGCAACAAAUGCCCUGCUUCCAGGAAAAGCCUCUAAGCAUCAGGUAACAUCAAAUCGUACCCCAAACCGACACAGGUGGUCAGGUAGAGAAUACCAAGGCGCUUGAGAGAACUCGGGUGAAGGAACUAGGCAAAAUGGUGCCGUAACUUCGGGAGAAGGCACGCUGAUAUGUAGGUGAAGUCCCUCGCGGAUGGAGCUGAAAUCAGUCGAAGAUACCAGCUGGCUGCAACUGUUUAUUAAAAACACAGCACUGUGCAAACACGAAAGUGGACGUAUACGGUGUGACGCCUGCCCGGUGCCGGAAGGUUAAUUGAUGGGGUCAGCGCAAGCGAAGCUCUUGAUCGAAGCCCCGGUAAACGGCGGCCGUAACUAUAACGGUCCUAAGGUAGCGAAAUUCCUUGUCGGGUAAGUUCCGACCUGCACGAAUGGCGUAAUGAUGGCCAGGCUGUCUCCACCCGAGACUCAGUGAAAUUGAACUCGCUGUGAAGAUGCAGUGUACCCGCGGCAAGACGGAAAGACCCCGUGAACCUUUACUAUAGCUUGACACUGAACAUUGAGCCUUGAUGUGUAGGAUAGGUGGGAGGCUUUGAAGUGUGGACGCCAGUCUGCAUGGAGCCGGCCUUGAAAUACCACCCUUUAAUGUUUGAUGUUCUAACGUUGACCCGUGAUCCGGGUUGCGGACAGUGUCUGGUGGGUAGUUUGACUGGGGCGGUCUCCUCCUAAAGAGUAACGGAGGAGCACGAAGGUUGGCUAAUCCUGGUCGGACAUCAGG